rnacentral:lncRNA from 10 species
CUCUCAUGUUCGUAUGCCAGGGAGAUCAACCACCUCUGAUUUUAAAAUAAAACACUGCAAAGAAAGCUUCCGGGAGGAAUGAGAGCAUGCCCCAAAUCACGACUCUGUAAUUAGUCUUUGUGCAGAGCGGACAGAAAUUUCGUCCCAAAGCCACCGUCCUUGCUCUGGUUCCUUUCUCUGUAAGCAUGUCACACGAACCACACUCCUGCGCCAUGCAUCGCAAUUUAAAGCUUUCCUUGUAAAGUUUCCCCAGCUUGAUUGCUUAUGGAAAGAGCAGCUCCGGUUCCCAAUUCGUUUAAUACAUCCUGUCCGAGCGCGUUUUAUUACCGAAUGUUACCCACGUUGUGAUAACAAGGGGACGCUGUGUCCUCCCCCGGUGAACUCACUCCCUGUCCCAGAAAUAUAGCGUGACUGCCCUCCCCGGCGGUGUUUUGAAAGUAGAAGCCGGGCGCCGCCCUCCAGCACCUGCACCUCCCGCCCGGCGACGGCCGCCUGAAGCACGAAGUGCGUGCGACCGCAGCCCGGCAGGUCACGCAACCCCAGGCCGCCGCGCCGCCUGCGUGCCUGCAGCCCGCCGGCCCCGCCCCCGCUGCCUGCUUCCGCCGCUUUAGUGCACGCUCGGGCUUCCUGGUGCGCCCGGAGCCUGCCUCGCGUGCCGACCCCGCCGCGUAAUCCGGCGAGGCAUCCCAGAUUCCGCCCGGCUCCAGACGCCCUCCACCGACUUUAGUUCGAGCAGACUCAUUUGGAAGCAGUGCAUUUUUAUCAGAGGGACUGAAAAGCCUUUCGAGAAUCAGUCAAGAAAAAGGAAUGCGCAUGAGAGUCAUGGUCACAUCAUGUGAUUGUAGGGAAAGCCUAGGCUAUCAUGGAGGGAAGAGAUUGGAUAAAUUAUUUGAAAAGCAAGCCUGUGAAUUGCUGUGGAGGAACAAUAGCCUGUCUCUUAUCUGGAGCCUUUCCAAGGAAAAGCAAAGGGGACCCUAGAAGGCUUCCUGGGAGACAGUUUAAUUCUGAAAACAAAGCAGUACUUCACCUCUUGUGUGUUGGGUAGAGCUGUAAAACAGAACACAGUCAAAAUAGUCAUUAGGGCCACAUCAAUGUCUGCCCAAAGUCAGGCGAGCAUUCCCAGGAAGGUGGGGGGCUGUGGCAGUUGCACACAUCAACCUCCUUUCUCCAUUGUCACACAGCAGAAGAGCGUGUUCCAUUCUACUAAAGUUGGGGCGGGGGGAGUUGAAUAAUUUAUUGACUGAAAACUGGGGGCCUGAGUUAGAUGGUAAAAAAGUUUAGAGUGCUGUUUUUUGUUUUUUAAGUUAUGUUUGUUUUAUAUAUUGAAGUGCUUAAAAUGUAUUUUAAAAAUUCAAAACAUCCCAGAAAUUCAGCAACUUGAGGAGACAAUAGUGACGAACAUUUUAUGGCAACAUUUGGACACUUUAAAGAUUAUUUCAGGAACUUUAAUGCUGAUAAAUGAGAGAAGGGACAACUUUUCCUAACUAUAACAUUUCGGCACCUGAGUACAGGGAUCAAAACAAGAGCAAGCAUUUCAAAUUCAUAUUGUGAAGCACCUACAAAAAGAUUAUUCUGUUAGCCUUCAUAAUGUGGAGAGUUCAUCUUUUCAUCUUAUCAAAUAAAAAUAUACCCAAAUUCUUGAACAGGCAUUCAGUUAGGAAAAGAGGGUGGGGUGAUGAAAUGUGUUCUCAUUCAGCAAACACUUUGCAGAUAUUUCUAGUCAAAGAUCCCUGUGGUCUAGGCUAGUGAGAGAAAAACGUGCCCUCUGCCCAGUGACAGCGGCUGCACGGGGAUCAGCUUUCACCAAUGCAGGCAGGGGAACAAAGGGCAGGCUUCAUCUGCCUGCAUCCCACAGGCCCUUGCGCAGGGGAGUUCCAUUUCAGUGCCCAUCACAUGACCUCUCAGGCCAAAACGGUUUUUAAUAAUUCUGAUUUUGAAUAUCAAAUGGAAGUGAAAAGUACAUUUAGGAAGGAAGGGCUCUAUCCUUAUUGAAGAACAUGCUCUAUGCAAACAGGUUGGACAGGCACUAGCUCUUGUAGAGCUAUGGUUCUCAGCUUUGGCAACACACUGGAUCACCUCCUCUAAAAGGUACUGAUGCCUGCUUUCCUCCCUCUUCUGCCCCUAAAGAAAGUAGAAUUUAAUUUUAAGCUCUAGGGUGUGGCCUGGGCAUCAGGACUUUUUUUUUUUUUUUGACAGAGUCUCACUGUGUCACCUAGGCUAGAGUGCAGUGUGCAGUCUUGGCUCACUGCAGCCUCAAUCUCCCAGAUUCAAGAGAUCCUCCUGCCUCAGCCCCCUAAGUAACUAGGAUUACAGGCACGCACCACCACACCAGGCUAAUUUUUGUAUUUUUUGUGGAGACGGUCUUUCACUGUGUUGCCCAAGCUGGUCUUGAACUCCUGAGCUCAGGUGAUCCACCUGCCUCAGCCUCCCAAAGUGCUGGGAUUACAGGCAUAAGCCACAGCCCCUGGCCGGCAUCAGGAUUUUUAAAAGCUCCCAAGUGCAGUCAAGGUUGAGAACAGCUGCUAUAGUGUGACUUAAUACAGCAUUCAAAGCCUCUCAUAAUCUAGCCUCAGCCUAAUUUUUCCUUCCAGCACCCCAUCUCAGCCUGUACAUAAGCCACAGAGACAUUCUCACUGUUCUCUGAAUGUACUUGGCUCAUUCAUAUUUCCAGGCUUUCUUGCACACACAUUGUCUGACUCUGGGCACCUAAGGAAAGCUCAGCUCCAAUGUCCUCUCCUCUUCCGUGAAACCUUUCCUGUCAAGCCCACCUUCACUACUAAGUCACUCCUUGCUCCUAGAUCAGAUGGAAGAAUGCUUUGGCAUAUCUCUACUGGAGCCCUUCUCACUUUACAUUAAAGAUAACUGUAUAUAGGUUAGCCCACUCCUCCUCCCUAAUAGCAUGUGGACCCUUUGUAGUUUCAGCAGUAAGCACAGGGCUUGGUUUCUAUGAAUACUUAUUGAGUGAAUGGAUGAAUGAAUGCCAAUCUUGUACAUUGUUGAUGUUCACCACAUUGAACCCAGUUCUCAAACCAGGAUCACUUGGGAGAUUCUGAGUCAAUAAUUUGAAGGUCUGUAUCAUUCCUACUCAAAGUGUGGUCCAUAAGCCAGCAGUGGCUAUAUUAUCUGGGAGCUUGUUGCAAAUGCAGAAUAUGUAUUUUAACAAGAUCCCCAGGCAAUUCAUAUGCACAUUACACUUUGAGCUAUAUUUUUAACAAGCUCCCAGGUGAUUCCUUUGUAGCCCGGCUGCUGACCUGCAUUUCGUAACCACUGUUCUAGACCUUCAUUUGCUGAAUGGAGUGGUCCCUGUGUGAUUGCCUACAGGUUUCUUCUAGUCUCCCAUUUUUCUUCCUAGUUAACAAAGCCCAAAUUUUGUUUGGAAGGGUGAUCAGCCCUUCACCCAUCAGGCCUUUGCCUCAGGGAAGCUUGACCCCACCUUUAGACCCCAUGUUGGGCCUGAGUAGUCCAAAGGCAUAUCCCAUUCCCCUGGCCAGGGAUUAGUUUAGGGAUAGACAUGUGACCAAAUUCAGCUCAAUAAAAUGUGAGUCUGCAGGGGCAAUCUAGAAAAAGUGUCCUCUUCCCUAAGAGAAAGCCACAGGAGGGUAAAAAAAUGUCUCAGAACAUUGUCCUGCCUAAACAUGAUGCCUCGGACAUUCUGCUUCUGUCUUGCUACCUGCAGCACAAGGAAAUCCAACACUGAGGGGUCACAGCAGAGGGACGGAAAGCACCUGGAUCUUACAACAUUGUUGAGCUCUUUUGUCUCUUGACUUCUAGUUAUGAGAUGUAAUUUUCUUACUGUUAAAGUCAUUUCUGUUCCUUGCAACCAAAAGCAUUCAUUGAUACACUGAAUAUAGUACAAUAUUUAUUCAAUCAAUAAAUGCCUGGCAAAUUACCCAAGUAUGAGUAAUUGUAGUUUGUCUCACAGCUAUUCUUUCAAGUAAAAGUGAUGCUCCAUGACAAAAACGGCUAGUUUAGCUUGUAACACAAACAACUGCACAAGUGCUUUUCCUUCAGACAAGUAUUGUACUUUCAUAUGUAACAGAUGUAUGUGCUUUAUGCAUGUUCCCAUUUCAUAACACAGAGUAUUAGAAACAUGUAUACUUCAGGGUUGAGAUCUCAUAAAAUGAGUAGUUUUCACAGCUUCAUUGAGGACACUCUUAAAUGAAACUGGCAGGUUUUUUUUUUUGAGUACUAGGAAAUGGGUGGCAGUAAAGAAUACAGUAACUAUUAAUAUAGUGUGGUGCUACUGCCUUGAAUUGUGCUAAGGCAUCGGCAGUUUUCGUCAUCAUUGCUUUGACAUCAUCAGUGCAGGUGUCAAUACAGUGAAAAAGGUAAAUGGCAUCUUGGUGUGAUUAUGGAAAUAGAUUGAUCUAAUGGACCGCCUGAAGUAGGCUUGGCCUCCCCAGGGAUCUUAGAGAACUGCUAUAGUAGGUGAUUACUUGGGAAACAAAAUCUCUUAGGAGAAGUUAUGGAUACAAAAUGGUUAUUGUUGAGGCCUGGAAGAGACUGAAUUAUGUGCCAUAUCAUGGUUCUGACUCCUUUAUUUGGGUCAAUGUCACUAUUGCCUCAGUGACUGCCAGCACAUGGGGCUGGUAACAGAGGAGUCCUAGGAGUAUCCAGGUGCUGAGGUGCUUGUGAGGCCUUAGGCUGGAGGGCACAGCAAAUGGGCUCACCCAGUGCUACCAGUUACAGACACAUUCACAAGACUGUGAAUCCACAACUCAGUUCUUUAUUUCCCUCUUCAGCCUGUUAGGUAAUUUAUCAUGUACUCAGCUUAGAAACACACUAUUUAGUGUAGUCUGAUUUCUGUUUAUAAUUCUUAAAAUACUCUUAUUAGUGAAGUCUUCUAAGUUCAGCCUUUUCUUGAGCUAAAAUUUCUCCGAUGCUGAAUAACUAUUAAAUAAUGAAUGUGUUGUUUCACUCGGAGGGGCAACAAGAUUCCCUCAAGCAGCACCUACCCCCACUGCUUGCCAGAAACAGGCAUUUUGGCAACACCACAAAGCACCAACUUUCGAGGUCUCACUGAGCCAGUCCUUGUUUCCAGGAAAGAAAACCCAUGUUCUUGAGCCAGAACGAAUGCUCUAAAGGCUGAGAUUCUCUUUUCUCUUGCUAGAGAGGGAAGAAUGACAAUGGUUUGCUUGGAUUCCUAUAGUGGGAAAGCCAUCUAGAAAUUCUAGCCAGGCAGAUAUCUCUCACAUGGAGAUACUGUCCCUUGACUCAUGAAUGCACUGUGGAAUUUGCCCUGGUGCCUUCUGAAGGGUUAAAGAAAAGGAUCCUAUUCCUUACUAGCAGUGAUGCUGAGGCCUGAAUCAAAUUAGGGAAAAGGCCAGUCAUGCUGUUGCCUGCUAUAUUUACUGAGAUAAUUUCUUAAAGCACAGAAGCAAGACAGACAAUCCAAAAAAUCGACAUGAACUUGUUCUGCAGAGUAAAGAUAGUUUCUGUCUUACUGCAUUGCUAUGAAAAAAAAAAAAUUUUAGAUCUGAAUGUGGCAAGGAAACAAGCUCCCUAGAUCGUCAGAGAAAUGACUGAGUUUUAGCAAGUUUUUCCUAAUUUUUGACCUAAAAUGUUCUUUCCUUCAGUGCCUCCCUGGAGUUUUUGUUUUGUUUUAUUUUUGUUUUCUAACACAAAAAAACACCUGCAUCACACAUUCUUACCCUCACUUUUGUGCUCUGUGUUGGAAACACAGGAGUUGUAAUGAUGUCUUUGGCUCUGGGCCUCUAAAUCUUCAUAGUGAAUUCAUCAAACUCUACACCUCAGGACCAGUCCAAAGCUUGGAAGGGAAAGAGGAGGAAGCAGGGGUUAUAAACAUACGCCAGGCAAUUUUUUUCCCCGUAUCUAGGUCAUUUUACUUUUCUCUGUGUAAAAUGCCUGGCCUUGGUGUUUUUGAGUGUGCAUGUAAACUCAGACUUGGCAGUGGGGAACAUGCAGUCAAACUUCUACAAUAUUCCUGGUGAUUGGCCUUUUAUAUCCCUAUCCUUGCUACUCCUUUUACCUUGACAUUGAACAUUUGCUCAGUACUUUAGCUCUUAUUAUUGUGUUGGUAGAACACCUUUUUCCCCUUAAGCACAGUUCUAGUACAUUAUUUCUGUGUUGUAUUAGAAAAAGGGAUGGAGCAAUAAGUUGGGAGAUUUUGCAUCCUAGUUCUGCCAUUAAAUGGCCAUAGAUACUGGAAAAGUCAUGUUCCUGUUCUGGGCUUCAUCUGUAAAAUGGGGAUUGGAGAGAGGGCUAAAUUUCCAGUGGUCCAUAGAUCUGGUGACGUGGUUUAGAUAUUUGUCUCCUCCAAAUCUCGUGUUGCAAUGUGAUCCCCAGUGCUGAAGGUGGGGCCUAGUGGGAGGUGUUUGGAUCAUGGGGGCAGAUUCCACAUGAAUGGCUUGGUGUCAUGCCAACAGUAACGAGUGAGUUCUUGAUCUAUGAUCUAUUAGUUCACGUGAGAGCUGGUUGUUAAAAGAGCCCAGCACCUCUCCCAACUCUCCCUUGCUUUCCUCUCUCGCGUGUGAUACACUGGCUCCCCUUUUGCCUUCUGCUAUGAAUAUAAGCUUCCUGAGGCCGUCACCAGAAGCAAAUGCUGGCUGUAUGUUUCUUAUACAGCCUGCAGAACUCUGAGCCCAAUAAGCUUCUUUUCUUAAUAAAUUAUCCAGUCUCAGGUAUUCCUUUAUAGCAAUGCAAAAUGGACUAACACAACUAACAUUUUUAGCAAAGUCUUCUUUCCACCACUUCCUUCCACUGGGCAUUUUAAGACAGCAGUGCUGAGAUAGGCUUUUGGGAACCAAAACCUAGAGUUGAUGGGUUCUAGGUCCUUGUCAAGCCUAAUGUUAGUUUUUUUCUCUCUUUCUCCAAAUGUCAGGUUUUCUAUCACCCCACCACUUCAAUAGUUUGCACUUAAUUUACCGAAGCUUCUGUGCUUUCUAGGUGGUUCACAUGGCUUCACUCCCCCUAACUCUCCGUGCUAUAUUCUAAACCUUUCACAGUCUAAAAGACAUGGGCAUUUGGUAAUUUUUAAAGUACCUUCUUCAUUUAAAAGAAUGAAAUGGAGUCUCAGAGAAGUCAGCUGAUGGCAAGCUCUCACAAGUUGGGUCAAAGGACAGCAAGUAGGUGAGGCGAAGCCCUGAAUUCCUCAAGUAGCACAUCCUAGUGGCCGCAUGAAGAGGCUUCUGGUGAAAGGGAAGAAAAGAGUGCUGCCAGUUUCUAGGGAAGCAGACGGGCAUAUGAGUGCUGCCCAGAGCUGCCACACACAGGGCCGCUGAGGGCCAACUUAAGUUCCUACUCCUGUGACCAAGAAUGACAAGCUCCCACCUACAUUGCUGGCCUACAUGUUUGAGACAUUCAAGCACUCAGGGAAUACAAACAUUUACUCUCUGGAUGUGCGAUGUUAGUGCUGCCUGUGACCAAAGGAUGAACUAAAGAAAAUAAAAUUAAAAAGAAACAGUGAGAGAAGCCAGUUGGCUACCUGUAGAAAAAGAGGGGAAUCUUGGUGGUUCUAAGGGAAACAAAGAUAACAAACUAGGAAAAUAAUUCAAGAACACACAGACCAAGUAGUAAUAUACAUGAAAAUACAGCAUGAAAGAAGAUCCCUUCAUAUAAAAGUUAAACAUUGAGAAGAGGAUUUUAUGUGGUGACUUAAAACUAUUACCCCCUUCUAUGUUUUCUCCAAGAGGCUAGUAAGGACUCAUUUAAAACAAGCAUUAGAAAUAAGAUUUGCCAAUAAGAUAAUUGAAACAAUAUAUAGAAAUUGAGACAAAAUUCUGGGCACAUCUUACCUAUAUAUUUUGUUAAGCCACUAUAAAAAAAUAGUGACAUUUCCAGUUAAUAUGCUUAUCAUUCUAAACCUACCAUCAGAUAACUCAAAAUUAUAAGGAGUUGGCAUCAGGAACUAAAGGAAAAUAGCCUAUCAGAAAGUCAACAGUGGCAGAACUGCUUAAAUAUAUGGGGCAGCAUGAUGACUUAAAAUCUUAGGUCAAUUAAUCUGUAAUAACCUUGGAGAAACUUUCCUAAAUUUUUGUGCCUCAAUGUUCUCAUAAAUACAAUGGAACAAUACUGUUUCAUGGCUCUGUUAUGAGGAAAUGAAUAGCCUAAAUUGCCACCACAGUUCUAAUUAAAAUGUUACCUUGAGUGCAGUGAGCAAAACCUCAUCUUUAAGAACCAAUAGAAGCUAGGUGUGGUGGCAUACAUCUGUGGUCCCAGCUACUUGGGAGGCUGAGGUGGGAGGAUUGCUUGAGCCCAGGAAUUUGAGGCUGCAGUGAGCUAUAAUCGCGCCACUGCACUCCAGCCUGGGCACAGAGUGAGUCCCUGUCAAUAAAUAAAUAAAUAGGAAAAGGAAAAAAAAGUCUUCUGAAAGUUGGCCAAACCACAAGGAAAAAGCAAUUCAGUUGAGGGAAUAGAGGAAAGGCUGACCCAGCUUUCAGCUUCUAUAUCUUCCCUUUAAUACAGAGACAAGGCAAUCAUAUUUUAUAAUUUUUAUUAUGCACUCAUUUUGGAUGUUUUCCUUAUGAAUUAUAAGUAAGUUUCAGAAUUCAGUGAGUUUAAAGAACACAUUUCCUUCAUAGGCUAUGUUGCUUAUGGUAAUCUUUCACCUGUCAUAGGAAUGUUUGGCCUAUUUAAAGGUUGCAGGUGUGUGAGAACAGAUGGUAUUGAGAAUGGGGACACAUUCAGGCUACAAAAAGUCUGCCAAAAGCCAAUUUGAGGUUAAUGCUUUAAGAGCAAUGGUGCUCUUUUCUUUGUCUUUCUCCUCUGUACAUGGGGAGCAGGUACUCUACCAGAACCAUGUCCUGGAGAUUUAAUUUGUGUUUUUUUUUCUUUUCUGUUCUUUAGUGAGAGAAGCACAAGAUACUACUACCACCUUAGAAUCAAUGCAGCAAGCUUCCCUGAGAACAGUGG